UUACGUCUUUCGAGUUCAAUUGGAGGGCAGUCUGGUGCCAGCAGCCGCGGUAAUUCCAGCUCCAAUAGCGUAUAUUAAAAUUGUUGCAGUUAAAAAGCUCGUAGUUGAAUUUCUGCUGCAUCGUCGCAUCUCUUGCUGAGUGCUUCGUUUCGGCUUAUUUCGGAUUGAUUUUUUCUUUCCGGAUGAUUACUUUGAGAAAAUUAGAGUGCUCAAAGCAGGCUUUUGCCUUGAAUAGUUUAGCAUGGAAUAAUAAAGUAGGACUUUGGUUCUAUUUUGUUGGUUUUAGGUACCAAAGUAAUGGUUAAUAGGAACAGUUGGGGGCAUUCGUAUUUAACUGUCAGAGGUGAAAUUCUUAGAUUUGUUAAAGACGAACUACUGCGAAAGCAUUUGCCAAGGAUGUUUUCAUUAAUCAAGAACGAAAGUUAGGGGAUCGAAGACGAUCAGAUACCGUCGUAGUCCUCC
rnacentral:rRNA from 1 species